rnacentral:rRNA from 1 species
UUGAGUUUGAUCCUGGCUCAGAGCGAACGCUGGCGGCAGGCCUAACACAUGCAAGUCGAACGCCCCGCAAGGGGAGUGGCAGACGGGAGAGUAACACGUGGGAACGUGCCCUUCAGCACGGAACAACCAAGGGAAACUUUGGCUAAAACCGUAUACGCCCGCAAGGGGAAAGAUUUAUCGCUGAAGGAUCGGCCCGCGUCUGAUUAGCUAGUUGGUGGGGUAAUGGCUCACCAAGGCGACGAUCAGUAGCUGGUCUGAGAGGAUGAUCAGCCUCACUGGGACUGAGACACGGCCCAGACUCCUACGGGAGGCAGCAGUGGGGAAUAUUGGACAAUGGGCGCAAGCCUGAUCCAGCCAUGCCGCGUGAGUGAUGAAGGCCUUAGGGUUGUAAAGCUCUUUCGUCAGGGAAGAUAAUGACGGUACCUGAAGAAGAAGCCCCGGCUAGCUUCGUGCCAGCAGCCGCGGUAAUACGAAGGGGGCUAGCGUUGCUCGGAAUCACUGGGCGUAAAGCGCACGUAGGCGGCUUUCUAAGUCAGGGGUGAAAUCCCGGAGCUCAACUCCGGAACUGCCUUUGAUACUGGAGAGCUUGAGUUCGGGAGAGGUGAGUGGAACUGCGAGUGUAGAGGUGAAAUUCGUAGAUAUUCGCAAGAACACCAGUGGCGAAGGCGGCUCACCGGCCCGAUACUGACGCUGAGGUGCGAAAGCGUGGG